UUAAGCCAGUUCUCAAAUUAUGUGGGUGCUGCUAUGUCAAAAGAGAUGUGAAUUAGCUAUAUUCAGAAAUCUGUGAUUCAGUCUUCCAAAUGUUUGUUUAAAGCUAAGUAUGUUGGUUCUGUUACUUUCCUUUUACUCGCUGAUGUUGUAAGUCUAUAUAAAACUCCAUUCCUUAUAAACUCCAGGGCACAUAUAACAUGAAGGGUAACAGAGCAGUCUGUUAUCCUUCAUAUGUUUCAGCAGCUUUUUGUCCUUAGAAUUUGUUUCUAGCAGGAAAAUAGUCAGAUUUACAGAAAGUAAUUGCUAUAAUCAUUCUUCUUCUGAGGUUUGGUCUCCCAUUUGAUUCUGAGAUUGCUGUUUUCUGUGACUUUUUCUCAGUCAUUGUGAGGAAAGAUGACUUCAAGACAGCUUUAUAAUAGAAAAAAAAUCUUAUAUUUUCCGUUCUUCUUUCAUCAAUAAAGGAUUACAAACACUCCUCAGUGAAUGAGCCAAAGCACUCCAAAGGAGGGACCUAAUUGACUUACAGUCCACAGGGAUGGACUUAGAAGAACUGGAGUUGAAAACUACUCUGUCCAUCCUGGGUGACUUCAUUAUUGAAGCAAUGACCCUGGUGCUGUGAGCUCAGAAUGAUGUGAAAGCCUGGCUUUGGCAAGCAGGACAGCUUGACUUGUAUCUUGGCAAAGCAGGAUCCUCUUGACUCUUUCUGCCUUUGUCCAAGGAUUCAGGUAGGAUCCCUCUCUUGUCCUUCUACUUAUGGGUGUCAGGUAUUAUUUGUCUUUUCUAGUCUCAGGU